UCGGGUAUGGUGUACGGUACAUCGCGUGCCUUCAUAACAUUGAUAGCCUUUGAAUGUUAGCGCGCAGUCCGGGGUUCGACUCCCCGUGCCCGAA